CAGUGGCGAACGGGUGAGUAACACGUGGGCAAUCUGCCCUGCACUCUGGGACAAGCCCUGGAAACGGGGUCUAAUACCGGAUAACACUGUCCCCCUCCUGGGGGACGGUUGAAAGCUCCGGCGGUGCAGGAUGAGCCCGCGGCCUAUCAGCUUGUUGGUGGGGUAAUGGCCUACCAAGGCGACGACGGGUAGCCGGCCUGAGAGGGCGACCGGCCACACUGGGACUGAGACACGGCCCAGACUCCUACGGGAGGCAGCAGUGGGGAAUAUUGCACAAUGGGCGAAAGCCUGAUGCAGCGACGCCGCGUGAGGGAUGACGGCCUUCGGGUUGUAAACCUCUUUCAGCAGGGAAGAAGCGAAAGUGACGGUACCUGCAGAAGAAGCGCCGGCUAACUACGUGCCAGCAGCCGCGGUAAUACGUAGGGCGCAAGCGUUGUCCGGAAUUAUUGGGCGUAAAGAGCUCGUAGGCGGUCUGUCACGUCGGGUGUGAAAGCCCGGGGCUUAACCCCGGA
rnacentral:rRNA from 1 species